GCAAACAUCAGUCCAAAGGGUAAGGGAGCCAGGCUUCAACCUGAUUGAAAUCAAGACGACCUGCAGGUAUUUUGACGUUUAUUCAAAAUAUAACGUUCUUCAUUCCAUGCACAAAUAACACUUGAGGCUCAAAAUACACAUGUGCAUGAGGUCCGACAGAAAUAUGCUGUUACUUGCAAUUAAAUGAAACUAUUAUCUCUGUUCAAUGUGAAGAUUGUGCUGUAUAUUCAGGUGGAUGUAGGCAUGCUACACCUGCAUAGUGAAGAUCCAUAAACAACUAGCAUGAGGUUUAUAAAAGCCAAGGACAUUUCUAGAGCACCUAAACGCCUUUGUUUUGUGUUGUUUAUACUUAUUUUAAAACAUUAAAAAAGUAACAAUAUCGAAAGUG